GUGAUUGUGGCUCAGUGGCAGAGCGCUUGCCUCACACGUACGAGGCACUGGGUUUGAUCCUCAGCAACACA
rfam:Ictidomys tridecemlineatus contig053909, whole genome shotgun sequence.